GGUGUUUGUUCGCAGCGGGCGGCGGGGAGGAGAUAGAUGCUAAUCGCUGCGGAUCGCCCGCCCCAGCUUAAGGUCAGGAGGUAACGCGACCCGCGGUUAUAAAUAACCGCUCAGGGCGGCGGCCGAGGGCAGCGCGCUGGACCCGCGCCCCUCGCCAGCCGCCGGGCCGGCUUGAUUACUGCCCUCCCCGGCCCGACCGCGGGCACCUGAACGCCGACAGCAGAGCACGGCGACCUCUGGGGCUAGCGCGCAAGGUCAGACCAGGUCCAGGGCUUCCCUGCCCUCUGCGGGGACCCUGGAGCACCGACAGCCCCACCUCCCCACCUCCAAGCCCCACUCCCAUCUCCCACCAGGGGCAAGAAGGUGGAGGGAGGCCAGCGGACACAACCCGAGGACCCAGGCGGCCUGCGCCUCCGCGCCAAGCCUGGGGGUGGCCGAUGGCAAGGGAGGCCCGGAGUAACCCAGCCAGUGAGGGCCAGGCUGCAGCUAACACUGAUCCUGCUUCUGGGGCCGACACAGGCCUGGUCUGUGAUGGUGGGACUUACCAGAGCUUAGUGGAAAGAAAAUCCCUGAGUCUGGGGCUUCAGGAGUCUCAGGCUGGGGAGGGACUCUGGUAGCACCCAUGAGGGGACACGUGGUUGUGCCCCAGGGAGGCCAGCCACCUGCUCUCCACUUGCCCUUGGAUAGAAAAGGGAGGUGGAUUUAACCUGCUCCAGGAGACAUGACUUUUAUUUUUAAGACUUUUUAAAAUUGAAGUUAAGCACACACACAGAACACUGCACAAAUCAAAGUGUACAACUGAAAGAAUUUGCACAUGCUUUGCAUACCUGUGCAACCAGCACCCAAAUUAAAAAACAGCACCUCACCGGCACCCAGAAGCCCCUCGAGACCCCUUCCACCUACUGUUCCCGAGUCCAGCCUCUCUCCUGACUCAGCCCGCAGGCGCUCUGGCCUGCUUCUGAACUGUGUGUAGAUGGAGCCAUACAGUGGGUGCCGUUUUGCGUCUGGUUUCUUUUGCUGCAUAUUAUGUUUGUGAGGUUUGUCAGUACUCUCACAGGCAGUCAAGGGCUGUUCGUACCCAUUGCUGGUGGCUUGCCAUUGUGUGGCUCUGUUAAAAUGUAUUCACCCAUGUUACUGCUAAUGGACAUUUGGGGAGGUUCCAGUUCCUGGCUAUGGUGAAUAGUGCCACUAUGAACAUUCUAGUUCCUGUGUAUUGUGAACAUAUGAAUGCAUUUCUGUUGGGUGAAUACCCAGGGCAGGGAUGACGGGGCCCGGCUGUGUGUCUGCUCAGCUUUGGAAGAUACAGGAAUGUUACUUUUUAAUCAUUUCAGUAAGAAUGAUUUUUCAAGGUAAGUUUUUGUUUUCCAUUCUAUUUAAAAACAAAAAAUGAUAGUGGCUCAUGCCUGUAAUCGCAGCACUUCGGGAGGCCGAGGUGGGCGGAUCACUUGAAGCCAGGAGUUCAAGACCAGCCUGACCAACAUGGUGAAACCCUCUCUCCACAAAAAUACAAAAAUUGGCCGGAUAUGGUGGGCACCUGUAAUCCCAGCUACUUGGGAGGCCGAGGCACGAGAAUCGCUUGAACCUGGGAGGUAGAGGUUGCAGUAAGCCAAGAUCACGCCAUUGCUCUCCAGCCUGGGGGAUAGAGCGAGACUCUAUAUCAAAAAAGAAAGAAAGAAAGAAAGAAAAAUUAGCCAGGUGUGGUGAUGCAAUCUGUGGUCUCAGCUACUUUGAGGCUGAGGUAGGAGGAUCACUUGAAGCUGGGAGGUUGAGGUUGAAGUCAGCCAUUGCACCACUGCACUCCAGCCUGGGUGACAAAGUUUGCCCCCUGUCUCCAAAAAAAAAAAAAAAAGAUGGACAUUAUUUACAGCUGCUGUUUAGAGUGACCCAUUCAACCAUUCAACAGAUAAGAGCCUAAGAGCCUCUUCCCUGGCAGAUACUGGACAAGAGAGAGACCCAGUUCUUCUAGAGCCUGGGGACAAGUGGCGACAGCAGGGGCGUCACUGAGGGAAGGACCAGGGAGUCUCAGCACACCCCGUGAUCCUCAUCAGCCACCCCUUACCCACCGCAGCUGCUCCUCACCCACAAACAUCCAAACUGAGACCCAGAGGACUUCCCAUGCAACCGGGACUCAGGGCAGAGGCUAAGGCCUCCGUCCAGGCAGGCUGCACACGGGAACUCGAAAUGGGCAGUCUGGAUGGCAGUAACACAAUGCAUCACAAUCAAGUAAGAAGAGGGCUGAGAGAGGAGGAGCAGGUGCUGUGGGCACAAGGGGCUGGCGGCAGGUAUGUGGCUGAGUCAGACAGGAGGCUCAGCAGGAGGAGCCCAGGAGGGAGCAGGAGCGUGGAGACAGGGUAGGGGCAGAUGGCUCUGGACUCUGGACCUAAUCCUGAGGGCCAAUGAAGGGGGUUAAGCCUGGGAGUGAGCAGAUCAGACGUGCUUUUUUAGCAAGAUCAUUCUGGAUCUCUGUGGAAACUGCCUUGUGGUGAUGAGAGCAAACCCUGAGACCACUGGGGUCCCUGAGCUGAUAAGCACCAAGGCAGUGGGCCGGAGAGAGGAGAGAUGUUUAAGAGGUGUCCUGGGUUGGGUGCGGUGGCUCACGCCUGUAAUCCCAGCACUUUGGGAGGCCGAGGCAGGUGGAACAUUUGAGGCCAGGAGUUCAAGACCAGCCUGGCCGAUAUGGCAAAACCUCAUCUCUACUAAAAUACAAAAAUUAGCUGAGUGUGGUGGUGGGCACCUGUAAUCCCAGCUACUUGGGAGUCUGAGGCAUGAGAAUCGCUUGAACCUGGGAGAUGGAUGUUGCAGUGAGCCGAGAUCAUGCCAUUGCACUCCAGCCUGGCAACAGACCAACACUCUAUCUCAAAAAUUAAAAAAUAAAAAUAAAAGAGGUGUCCUGGAAGGACCUGGGGCAUAGCAGGCUCUGGGGAAUGGGGGAAGAGGAGGCAUCAGGAAGGUGUGAGGAAUGGAUUGGGGAAGACAUGGUAAAAUUACAGAUUUGGGAGAAAGGAGUCAUUCGCUCGCAGAGGUUUUGGUGAAUUUCCUUCCCAUGUUCCCAUGUUUCUUUUUUUUUUCUUUUUUAAGACAGAGUCUCACUCUGUCACUGAGGCUGGAGUGCAAUGGCACGAUCUCGGCUCACUGCAACCUCUGCCUCCCGGGUUCAAGUGAUUGUCCUGCCUCAGCCUCCCGAGUAGCUGGGAUUACAGGUGCACGUUACCACGCUUAGCUAAUUUUUUGUAUUUUAAGUACAGACAGGGUUUCACCAUGUUGGCCAGGCUGGUCUCGAACUCCUGGCCUCAAGUGAUCCGCCCACCUUGGCCUCCCAAAGUGCUAAGAUUACAGGCGUGGGCCACUGCGCCCGGUGUCCUUCCCAUCUUUCGUGUGAUAGGUUCCACUUUGGUCUCAGAACUUCUGAGAGCCAAAUUGUUUGGGCCUGAGGAGGACAGCCAGGCCCAACCAAUUUCCCUCAGCCAGCCCUAGGGAACUGUAGAAGGUGAGGCAUGGCCAUGCAUUCAUUCAAAGGUAUCCAUGGAGUCCACACCUGCUGGAGCUUGUUCCAGGUGCCGGGAUGCGUUGGUGGACAAAACAAAUGCCUGGUCCUCAGGGAGCUUCUACUCCAGUGGGGAAGCGUUAAUACUUAUAUAAGCCUAGCCAAUAUGGCAAAGCCCCGUCUCUACUAAAAAUACAAAAAUUAGCCGGGCGUGGUGGCACAUACCUGUAGUCCCAGCUACUCAGGAGGCUGAGGCAUAAGAAUUGCUUGAACCUGGGAGGUGGAGGAUACAGUGAGCUAAGAUCGCACCACUGCACUCCAGCCUGGGCAACAGAGGGAGACCUUAUCUAAAUAUAUAUAUAUAUGUGUGUGUGUGUGUGUGUGUGUGUGUGUAUGUGUAUAUAUAUAUAUGUAUAUAUAAAGUGGUGUAAGUCUUAAGAAAAAGUAAGCUGGGGAAGGGAACAGUGGCAGUGGUGGGAGGAGUCUGUUUCAGAUUGGGUGGGCAGGGCAGCCUCUCUGAAGAGACUUCAGCACUGACCUGAAAGAAGCAAAGGAGCAAGGCACCUGCUGGGCAGAGCAGGCCGGGCGGAGGGCACAGCAAGUGCAGAGGCCCUGUGGCAGCUGUGAGCCUGCUUGGGCUGCUGGAGGAGCGGCAGGGAGGCCGCUGUGGGAGGACUGAAGGGAGGACUGCAGACCAGAGGGCAGACUCGGUGGCCCGAGAGGGGGCCUUUCACUCUAGGGAAGGGAGAGGGUUUCUGAAGCGAUGGCCUCAUCUGGGUUUUGUUUGAGAAGGGUCAUUCUGGCUGCUCUGAGAACAGACUGUAGAGGACGGAAGUGGGAGGAGGCCCUUCCAGAGGCACAGGUCAGAGAGAGGGGUGGCCUCGACGAGGGUGGAGGCAUCAGCGAGGGAAGAGGGGGAGCCCCCGGCAUGGCUGGUGGACACAGCAUGGGCUGGUGGACUAGAUGUGGCAUGUGAGAGACAGAUAGGUGGCAAGAAGGACCCCUGCUGUCAGCUGCCCCUUCACCAGGCUGUGGGACCAGGACACAGCUCAGGACACCAGCCUCUUCCUACCUCCCCUCACCUCUGGACUCUCCCCUCCUCCUCCCUCUCCUUGUCUUCUGUCCUGUCCCCUGGCCUCUCUUCCCUCACCCCCUUCUCCCCCUCCUCCUCUCCUGUCCAUUCCUCCUGUUUCGGGAGUCCAGUGACCUGGUGCUGUCACUUCCCAAAGGUCAGAGAGGCUGCCCUCUGGAUAUGGCCUUGUGCCUUUUUUCACUCAGCAGUUUUGAUGACUGUGGCCAGGACCCAGAGGCUGGGAGCGGAAGAAAAAGUAGGUGUGGCCCCCAAGUUCUGGCCUGGGGAGCAGCUCAGAUGGAGGGAAAGCCCAGUCCCCAUCCUGGGGCCUCUCCAUGCCCUGAGCCCUGGGUGCUUGCGGGGCACCCCCAUGCAGAGCAAGGCGGGGGGUCCUUGGGAAGCUGACCAAGAGCCGCAUGCAGCGUCUGCUCCACCUGCCGGGACUUGGGGCCAGGUUUUCUCAAAGCUGCCCCCUCUCCCCAUGUAGUUACAGGCUGGCUCCUUGGUCAAGAUCCUGUGUUGGAUUCAGCCUAAGCCCACAGGUGUACAUCCAUUGCCUGGAGACACCUGUGUCGGGGAACAGGGCUGAGCUGGGAGCCUGUUCUCAUGUUAUCCCUCCAGCCCACCCUCUCCCCUGAACUCCAGACCUACACGGCCACAAACUCAGCGUCUCUGCUUGGAUGGAUGAUGGGCAUCUCAAACUUAAUGUGUCCACCAUGUGAGCUCCUCCAGUCUUCCCCCAGUGUGACUAAUCCCAACUGCCUCCUUCCAGAUGAUCAGGCAAAACCUUAGCACCCCCCACCCCCUCUCACCCAGCAUCCAAGCUGUCAGAAAAUGCUGUUGGCUCUGCCUUCAGAAACUGAGCCCCUCACCCAACCUCCAUUGCUAUCAUCCAGUCUAAGCCAACAUCCUCACUCAUUAGAUUCUUAAAAUAGCAUCGGCCCUUGCCCCUUCAUGCUAUCCCCAGCAUGGUAGCCAAAGUGGUUUUAUUAAAAAGUGAGUUGAUAGUGUCACUUGUCUGCUUCCUCUGCAGUCUAAGGCAACGCCGAGGUCCUGUCGGGCGGCCCCUCUGUCAUCUGCUCCUGCCCCACCUCUCCAACACCAUCUCUUUCCACGGCCCAUUUGCUCCAGCCUCACUGGCCUCUGUUCCUUGACUACGCAGUGCACAUGUCGGCCUUGGGGCCUUUGCACCUGCUGCCCUGCUGGCUAUUUUUCUGGUGGGAAGCAGGUGGCUUGGGCAGGCCUCUGGGCUCCCCACAGUUUGUCCCUCACCUUCUUUACAUCUUCAUUCACGUGUUAUCUUCUCAGAAGAGCCUUCACUAACCACCAUGUUAAAAAGUAAAGAUCAGGCUGGGCACAGUGGCUCACGCCUGUAAUCCCAGCACUUUGGGAGACCGAGGUGGGCGGAUCACCUGAGGUCAGGAGUUCGAGACCAGCCUGGCCAACAUGGCAAAACCCCGUUUCUACUAAAAAUACAAAAAAAAAACCCCCAAAAAUUAGCCAGGCGUGGUGGCGGGCGCCUAUAAUCCCAGCUACUCAGGAGGCUGAGGCAGGAGAAUCGCUUGAACCCGGGAGGCCGAGGUUGCAGUGAGCUGAGAUCGCACCGUUGGACUCCAGCCUGGGCAACAAGAGCAAAACUCUGUCUCAAAACAACAACAAAAAGAUCACACCUAGUACCUUGGUUUCUAAUACCAUUCUUCAGUGAAAGGAUCCGGGGCUCCUGGGAGAGAUGGCUGAUUCCAGGACUGGGACAGGAGCAUCGUGUAGUGUCAGAGAGUAAGGAAGGGCUCAAAAAGAAAAGAACCACAUUGGUGCUGGAGAGAGGGGUAUCAAAGGGAUGAAGGAGCCGACUGAAAGAGCUGCCAACAACCAAACGCUGCAACAAUUGAGCAGUAAAAUGAAGUAGUAGUAUAACCCAAGUGUAAAAUAAAUAUCCAUGAGUCCAUUAUAAAUAAGCGCUUGGAUUAAUUAAUAAAUGGGGGAGAAGACACACACAAAAAAACCCACGCAGAAGAAUUUCAAAUAAUUUAUGUCGUUUUUUUUUUUUUUUUGAGAUGGGAUCUCACUCUGUUGCCGGACUGGAGUGCAGUGGCACAAUCUCAGCUCACUGCAACCUCCACCUCCUGGGUUCAAGCGAUUCUCCUGCCUCAGUCUCCCAAGUAGCUGGGAUUACAGGCGCCCACCACCACGCCCAGCUAAUUUUUGUAUUUUUGGUAGACACAAGGUUUCACCAUGUUGGCCAGGAGGGUCUCCAUCUCUUGACCUCAGGUGAUCCGCUCGCCUCGACCUCCCAAAGUGCUGGGAUUACAGGCAUGAGCCACUGCACCAGGCCAAUUUAUGUCACUAUUUCACCCUAAAUGAGUUGGGGCUGAAAGCAUAAGUCCCAGGCCUUAUGUGUGGCUGCACUUAGUGACUUCCUCCCAAAGAGUACAGUGUGGAACGGGAGAAGGGGGCUCAUUCUGCGGUGCAGAAACCCAGCGGAUACCCGUGAUAAAGUCAGCAUCUUUGUAACUCCAGUUGAUAGGACCUCUGAUAGGAUACAUGAUGAAAACGGCACCUCGGCUUUGUGAUCAGACACCCAAAAACCCAUAACCCCUGUCUAAACAUGAGAACAACACGAAACAAAUUCCAGUAUAGCAGUAUCCUCCAAGACACCAAACCAGGACUUCUCAAAACUGUCAGGGUCAUCAAAAUAUUUUCAUCAAAAUAAAAGUCCGAGAAGUGGUCACAGCCAAGAGGAGCCUCAGGAGGCAAGACAAUGACAACGACGUAGAAUGUGAGAUCCUGGAUGGGAUCCUGGAACAGAAAAAGGACAUUAGGUAAACCCAGAAAAUCUAAAUAAACUAUAGACUUUGGUAAAUAAUAGUGUAUCAAGGCCUGGUGCAGUGGCUCAUGUCUAUAAUCCCAGCACUCUGGGAGGCCAAGGCGAGAGGAUUGCUUGAGCCCAGGAAUUCUAGACCAGCCUGGGCAACUCCUAUCUCUACAAAACCCUAUCUCUACAAAAAAUACAAAAAUUAGCCAGGUGUGGUGGUGCAUACCUGUGGUCCCAGCUACUCUGGAGGCUGAGGCAGGAGGAUGGCUUGAGCCUAGAAGGUCGAGUUUGCAGUGAGCCAUUACCGCACCACCACAUAGACAGAGCAAGACUCUGUCUCUAAUAAUAAUAAUAAUAAUAAUAAUAAUAAUGUAUCAAUAUUGGUUCAUUCAUUGCAACAAAUGUACCAUACUAAUGUAAGUUGUCACUGAUGAGAGAAACUGCAUGCAGGAGGAGGGAGGAUUUGGGGGUAACUAUGUUGUCUUCUUUUUUUUUUUUUUUUAAUAGCUCUUCAAGAAUUUAUUUUAUUUAUUUUUUUGUUGUGUAAUCUUUUUUUUUAUUAUUAUACUUUAAGUUUUAGGGUACAUGUGCACAAUGUGCCGGUUAGUUACAUAUGUAUACAUGUGCCAUACUGGUGUGCUGCACCCAUUAACUCAUCAUUUAGCACUAGGUAUUUCUCCUAAUGCUAUCCCUCCCCCCUCCCCCCACCCCACAACAGUCCCCAGAGUGUGAUGUUCCCCUUCCUGUGUCCAUGUGUUCUCAUUGUUCAGUUCCCAUCUGUGACAUAUUGUCUUCUUAAUUUUUCUGUAAAACUGGAACUGAGCUUAAAAAAUUGAAUCUAUUAAAAAUUACAGCCCCCAACCCACAAUUCUCAAACCCAAACCAGCCUUUUCCCAUUGUACUUAACACCAUUUAUACUUAACACAAUUUACACCAUUUAACUUUUUUUUUUUUUUUUGAGACAAGGUCUCACUCUGUCACCCAGGCUGGAGUGCAGUGGCUCGAUCUCGGCUCACGGCAGCCUUUAACUCCCAGGAUCGAGUAACUCUCUCACCUCAGCCCCCCAAGUAGCUGGGACUACAAGCAUGAACCACCACACUCGGCUAAUUUUUGUAUUUUUAGCAGAAAUGGCAUUUCAUUGUGUUGCUCAAGCUGGUCUCCAACUCCUGGACUCAAGCAAUCUGCCCAUCUCGGCCUCUCAAAGUGCUGGGAUUACAGGUCUGAGCCACUGCGCCUGGCUAAUUGACUAUAUAUUGAACUCGUAUAUUUUGUUUAUUGCCUGUUAACUCUCUAGAAUAUAAGCUUCUUAAAGGGUUUUGUCUCUUCACUACUGUAUGCCCAGCACCUAAAACAAUCUGACCAAUAGCAGGUACUCAGUAAAUAUUUGUUGAAUGGUACAUUUCUAAAGAUAGUCACUGUUGGUUUUUCCAGUUUUUUCCCUCUGCCUAAAUAUAUUUAUUACUGUUCUCAAAUAAACACGAUUAUAAUGUUUUGCUUAUCUGCUCUUUUCACUUAAUAGCACCUGAUUAUUUUUCCUUGUUAUUGUUUUACCUCAUUUUCUAGGCCAUGCUGGUGUUUGCGAGCCUAACAAAUGGUUGUGAUUCAAGAGGCGAAGGCUCUGGGCGCCUCUUGCUCCCUGCCGGCUCCACCACAGUGCCAUGUGGGCAGGGGAUGGAGUCAUGCCAAGGCCUGGCCAAGGCCACUCCCGCCCUCUGACAUCAGAUUGUGGGCACUAGAUCCCGCUUGGUGGUGAACCGGGUGCGUCAGAACCCAGGGAUUAAAUAGCUUUCGAAAUCCAUCGGCUUGUCCUUGACCAGCCAGAGGGCCAGGGCACGUGCCCAGACCUCCUGCCAGCUCAGGGAUAGGGGAAAACACCAUCCAUGCACACAUUCGAGGCAGCUGCAGAGAGCCGCCCACAGUGGGUCACAGCCCAGGCCCAAGACUGAUGGUCCUGGCCCAAAGUGCUCUGGAGACCUGAGCUCCCGAGACGGGGGUUGGUUGGAGGCUGGGGGCUGUCAGAACCUCUCUCCAGGCACCCAGCUAGGGGCUGAGGAAUCUGCUCUGCCAGCUGUUUUCACAGUGGGAAGCAGGUGGCUUGCACAGGCCUUUGGGGGACCCCAUAUGUUGAGGUAGGAAACGCUGUGGUGUGGCGGGGGAGGGAGCAAGGGGUAUCCUUCCUCUGCACCCAGGGGCCAUCUGCUUUCAAAUCCAGCCACUUGUCCUCCUUCCUGGUAGCAAUAUGGAGCCACCCAGACUCUGCUAGACAUAUGAGUGCUAAAGAUAAAAAUACUCAAAGGACAUAUGCCUUCUGUGAACUGCUUUACUCAACGUGCUUGGGAGUCCUUCAGCUUCCCUCUAAAACACAGUGUCACUCCCACCCCCACUGGCCCCACCUCCGCAAAGAGGCAGGGAAGCUGUUAUGGCCUUAGACACGCUGUGCUUGUGAAUGCGUAGUGUGUGGAUGCAGGUGCGUGCUCUGAGCAUGCGCCUGCACCUGUCUUCCGCAUGCACACCCCAGUGCGUGUACGCGAGUGUUGAUGUGUGAUGCGCUGAGUGCAUGUCUGUGUGUGCUCCGGCUCAUGUGUGUGGAUAUGCGUGCCUCCAUCUGUGUUUCCAUGUGUUUUGUAUGGGUUUGCCUUGGCAGGUGGGUCUGUGUGGGCACACACCUGGGGGUGUGCAUGGGUGUGUGCUUUGCUGUAUGCGAGUGUGCCCAUGAGGAGAUAUGUUCUUCCAUGUGUGCUUGUGUGUGUUUCAUGUGAGCACAUGCUUGUAUGUGAGCUUUUUGUAUGUGUACCUUUGGGUAUGUGCCUAGGUAGGUGCACAUAUGUGCAUGAGCCCAGGUGUCAAACUCCGAGAAAAGAGAUGAAUGUUAGUCCCACACCUGCUCUGUUGAUGGGCUUUCCCCACCCCCUACCCACCUGCAUUCUAUUAGCAGGACUGGUCUUUAAACAAAUCUCUCACAGGUGAGGUGGCCUCCACUUUUCUCACACCUUCUUAUACAGUCAUGCACCUCAUAACGUUUCAGUCAACUACAGACUGCAGCUAAAGUGGUGGGCCCAUACGAUUAUUAUUAUUAUUAUUAUUUUUGAAACAGAGUCUUGCUUGUGUCGCCCAGGCUGGAGUGCCCUGGCACAACCUC
rnacentral:lncRNA from 10 species